GCGGCCGCCGGUCCCCUCACGAUCCUCCGCCAUGUUGGCCGUGGAUCUCGCCGGUUCCGGGUCCCGCCGUGUCCCUCGGUUCCCUCGGGCAGGGGGCGACAGGCGUGUUGAGGCUAUCUCGAGCCCCCUCGGAGGAGAAGGAUGAUCUUGGAAGAGGGAGCCCAGCUUGGCAUGGUCCCCAUUCCCGCUGUCAUGUGUGAAGAGAGAUGGAGAAAAAUACAUCCAGAGGUGCAGAGCUGGGAUGCAACACAGGCAGCAUGUCCAAGGCUGUGCUGCUCACCCAAAGAACCCAGUAGCAAGAGCAACAAAACAGUAAUGAGCUGGAAAAACACAACGAGGACCCCCGUGGUGAAUCUGCUGGGUCUCCAGACAAGGAAAUUCACACUCUGCAGAGGACACAGCGUUGGCUCCAGGGCUAAACCAGCCCGUUCCCACGGGGCUUCUGUUGUCCUAAACCCAUGUCCUUCUGGUUAGACACUCCUCCCCUCCCUGGGGAGUUCUUGGUCAGAAAAAUAUUUCCAUCUGUUAUUGGGAGAUUGCCUGAAUUGUUGGUAUCUUAAUAAA